CCCGGUGGCUCCCGGGGGACGGAGCGGUGGCUGUCAGCCCGAGACUCCAACUCCCGGCAGGCCGUGCUGCCGGCGCGGCGUGUGACGCAACGGCUAUCGCGGCACAUGAGUGGCUGUCAGCCCGAGACUCCAACUCCCGGCAGGCCCUGCUGCUGGCGCGGCGUGUGACGCAACGGGCGACGCGGCCCGGCAUUUUUCUCUAAAUCGGCAGUAAAUACAGCUGAGUAAAAUUAGCUUGGUUUUCUUCCUUCUUUUGUAACGGAACUGUUUUUAUUAAAAAUCCUAUUUGAAUAUGUGGAAAAAGUGGGGAUGUCCUGUAAUAUAUCGUCGCUUUUCUUGUUUACAGGGUGCUCAGAAAACAUGCGUCCCUUAGAGUCCCACGGAAAGGUUCUCAGUGCGAUCUCUAUCAAGGAAGUGUUGGAAGUUAGUGUUUUCGGAAAGAAACGGCAGUUCCACAGAACAUUCCAUUUCACAGAGGCUCUGGGAACGAUUCAUGUUUGCUAUGAGUCUUGAUAAAUUGGAGAAGAGCCCAAGAGAAAUUUUUCAUCCCUUGAUAUAAAAGGAUUUAUUGGUUCUGGAAGAACAAGAGGGAAGUACAAGCCUAACUACUUCUAGCUCACAGACCCGUCCAGUGAACCCAGGGAUCGGUGAAUUUUAACUUUGGAGUCCACUAUGCUAAGGAUGCUCAGCUUACAGGUGAUGAAAUGUUCAGUAAUGUAUUUGCUGCAGCUCUGCUUACCCAAGCUUUGGGUUCCUUCUGUCCCACUGGGAGUUGCCCAGUUUGGUUGCAUCUGGUGAAAUUCACCCUGAGACCUUACAGAACUAGCUCCAACUACGUGAGAGCCAUUUGCAGUUCUCUCCAGACACCUGGAGAAUGGGUGACGUUUCUGAGGAUCCGGCGAGCGUGCUUCUAUCAAAACUCAGUCUGUGAAAUUUCUGGGGAAAACCCUUCUGUGUCCUGAAGGGUUCAAACUCUGGUGAGGAUCCCGUUAUCAGGUGCUCACCUGGAUGGUUCCAGCUGCCAAAGGGAAAGACUCUCGUAUCCUUGUCGUCGGGCUCGGUGCUGUCCAAGAAGAUACGGGGACUAAAAAAAUCAUAAGAAGCAAAAUAUGACUGCAGGGAAAAGAAGCUGGAGAGAACAGAAGACUCAUCACGGCGGGACAGCGUGAGGACUGAAAGUGUAAGAAGAUGUGGAGGGAAAGAGAGAAUCUGACAGGAGCAGCGAACGCACGAGUGCACGAAUUUUGCUUUUUGCUUGGAUGUAAACUCAGGAGUUGAGAGGAAUUUGGGAGUGAGAAGGGACAUUUCAGAAGGAGAAGAAGAAAAAGAAGUUGUUGCUACAGUCCUGGCAAAAUCUUUUGUUCUAGCUAAUAAAAGAAGUUAGUUUAAAAAACAAAAAGGAAAAAAUGUAGUGUUUUUUUUUU